rnacentral:rRNA from 1 species
ACGGGGGGAGCAAGCGUUGUUCGGAUUUACUGGGCGUAAAGGGCGUCUAGGCGGACUUGCAAGUCGAGCGUGAAAUCCCACGGCUCAACCGUGGAACUGCGCUCGAUACUGUUGGUCUUGAGUACGGAAGAGGAAAGCGGAAUUCCUGGUGUAGCGGUGAAAUGCGUAGAUAUCAGGAAGAACACCGGUGGCGAAGGCGGCUUUCUGGUCCGAUACUGACGCUGAAGCGCGAAAGUGUGGGGAGCAAACAG